CAAAGCAGCGUGGCCAGGCCGGGGUCUGAGCUGGGGUUCUGUCCCUGCUGGGCUGAGGCCCCAGCUGGACUGCUGCCAUGGAACUCAGCGCCGAAUAACUCCGGGAGAAGCUGCAGUGGGACCCGGAGGUGAAGCAUAUGGAGGUGGAGGACGUGACCCUCAACCGUUGUGCCUGCAGCUUCCGAGUCCUGGUGGUGUUGACCAAGUUCGAGGGGAAGCUGCUGCUUCAGACACUCUGGCGGGUAAACGUGUGCCUAGCUGGAGCCUCUCGCACAUCCAUGCUUUUGAGCAGAAAACCCUCAUCCCAGAGCAGUGGGCCUGUGAACGGCAGAAAGGAGGGACUGGCAUCUGCACAGCCAUUAAAUUAUAAAUCAGGACCAGAAAAAAGGGAAAAGAAUGAAGCAGAUCCAUGUGUUAUUUUUGGGCAAUGGACAACAAAAUAUACUGUGUAUUAAUAAAUGAAAAAAAAGAAAUAGUGAACAGUGUGGAUGGCAGGUUACCAGUAAUGUGAAGAAAAAUGCAGGGAGACAAAUAUGUGCAUAUACUUUGAGAGGCCGAGGCAGGAGAAUCACCUGAGCCCAGGAGUUCAAGAUCAGCUUGGGCAACAUAGUGAGACCAAGUCUCUACAAAAAGUAAAAAUAUAGAAAAAAAACAAAUAUGUCCAUAAUUGUACAGACUGGCUGGAAGGAUGCACGUUGGAGGGAGGGAGAGAGGCAAGAGCACUUUUUGCUAAAGUACGCUUUAUACUCUUCCUUUUUUUUUUCUUUUUUUUUAAACGAUGCCCAAGUUUUACUUUUUCAACUAAAAUUAGUAUUCUUACAAAAAGAGGGUGGUUGCAGGCCACAGACCCAGCUGGGCUGCAGAAGGUGGCUUUGGCUACUUACUGUCACCCCUUAAUCCUAACUGUGCCUUCCACACCCCUAACAGUUCCUCCUUCUCCUAUUCUUUCUGCAUUACCCUGGUUCCUGGCUCUGCAACUGUAGCCAGGAUGGCCUCAGAAGUUCCCUGAAAAGAGCUUCCAGGCAGGACUUUGCAUACAGGUGUUCAACACACACUGCUGGAAACCCACACACCUGGUUAACUCAGUUAGCUUAUCUCUCCCAUUGCUCUGUACGCUCAGUCUGACCGCACCGUCCCACUGUCCACAUGUUCCUGCCAGCUACACCAUCACACACUGACAAGUGGUUACUGUGGGCUAGACACCGUGCUGGCAUGUUACAAGCUUCACCUCACUUCACUCUUGCAGUCAGGUACCUGUGAGGUAGGCACCACAGCCAUUCCUAUUUUACUGAUUGGUCUAUUAUUAUUGUUAAAAACCCUAUUAUGGCUAUUAAGUGCAGUAGUAUUUACAUCUAAAUGAUCACAACCAGUUACAGAUUUCUUUGUUCCUUCUCUGUUCCCACUGCUGCACUUGACUAACCAUAAGAAAACAAAAACAAAAACUCUAAAAUCUCUAUUAUGGCAAAAAUCUCUAUUUGUCUCUCAUAACUUGGUAAUCAGGGUAAUAUUGUAUAUCCUAUACUUGUAUUGCCCUUUACAAUUUUUACAUUAGUUCAUACUCAUUAUCUUAGCUGAUCUAUAAAAUACACUCAGGGAUGACAAUAACUUGCCCCAGGACACACAGGCUAUUCUGACAGACCUGGGACUGCAGCGGUGCCACACAUAACCAGC